CUUGAACGCUGGCGGCAUGCCUUACACAUGCAAGUCGAACGCGAAAGGGGGCAACCCUGAGUAGAGUGGCGAACGGGUGAGUAAUGCAUCGGAACGUGUCCUGUAGCGGGGGACAACCCCGAGAAAUCGGGGCUAAUACCGCAUACGUCCUACGGGAGAAAGUGGGGACCGCAAGGCCUCACACUAUAGGGGCGGCCGAUGCCGGAUUAGCUAGUUGGUGAGGUAAGAGCUCACCAAGGCGACGAUCCGUAGCUGGUCUGAGAGGAUGAUCAGCCACACUGGGACUGAGACACGGCCCAGACUCCUACGGGAGGCAGCAGUGGGGAAUUUUGGACAAUGGGCGCAAGCCUGAUCCAGCCAUGCCGCGUGAGUGAAGAAGGCCUUCGGGUUGUAAAGCUCUGUUGUAAGGGAAGAAUAGCUAGAUGAGGAAAUGAAUUUAGUCUGACGGUACCUUACGAGGAAGGGACGGCUAACUACGUGCCAGCAGCCGCAGUAA
rnacentral:rRNA from 1 species